CGUUUGUGGAGUUCGUGUCUGCGCUUCCAUCGAAGGUACAUGAUUCCUAUUUGUUGUGAGAGUGAAAUGAUGGGCAGCAGCACCAACUGAGGGCUAUCAUUUACUACUGCUAAUUGGCGUUGCUGCGGAAGCGC